AUGUUGUCUGGCGUCAAGUUCGAUCCCACGGAUCAGGAGCUGAUCGAGCACCUUGAGGCCAAAGUGAGUGCUGAUAGUACGAGAUCUCAAACUCUCAUCGAUUUGUUCAUACCAACCAUCGAUAGCGAGCACGACAUAUGCUACACCCAUCCUGAGAAACUUCCAGGUAUCACACUAAGUGGCCUAAGCAAGCAUUUCUUCCAGCGCAAUUCCAGGGCGUUCAAAAGGGGCACGUGGAUGUGUCGCAAGAUACAGUCGGUGUGCGGCAUGCACGCGAUGUGGCACAAGAGCGGCAAUACCUUGCCGGUGAUGGUCAACGACCGACAGAUGGACAUCAAAAAGGUUCGGGUGCUGCACACCAACAAGAACUUCGACCAGUAG
rnacentral:rRNA from 1 species